UGAAGCCUCCCCCCCAAAAAAAGAAGAAAGCCACUCCUCCUCACCCAGCAGAGCUCGUUACAGUACCCUGCCACGUCAAUCCGGAAUCUGCUCAGGGCUGCUGCUAAGGAUGGAUGGAGACUGACUUCUCCCCUCUGCUUGGGCGACUUCAUUUCAUUUUUAUCUCCACAAGGUUUUCUGUUUUUAAACUAGUUGUAACACCCGCCAAACAGUGUUUUUUUAUUUAUUUAUUUAAUUUAAAUUCUUAGAAUGGCUUAAAGAAAACUAGAUGGACAUCUACAGCUUCAGAUAAAGAGGAAAGAUAGAUGCAACCAUGGCUUGAAACAUCUUUCCUUCAGGUUGUGAAGACACUCUUCUGGUUUGGGGACUGGGGGGGAAUUGACAGGCAAUACCAUUGUGGACCUAACUGGACUCUUUGUGAAUUGUAUGGAAUAAACGUGCCUUGCAGUCUUGGCGUAACCCAUGCUAAAAACUAUGUGAUAACUUAUCUAUUUUUUAAUGUAAUAAAAAAAGGACAAUUGGUGGCCUAUUUUUCUUGAUUUGAGUUUAAAUUGAAUUUUGUGCAAAAAAACAAAACAAAACAAAAAAAAAACGAAAAAAAUGUUAAUGCAAAACUCGGAUCAGAAAUAUAAAAUCAAGAUAAUAUUUUGAGUAAUCUUGAAAAAACAUGCUAUAUAACAGUGUUUAUCAUUUACAAAGUAUGAAAAUCCCAUAGAAAUGGUUUCCAUGGUUCAUUUGCCCUGUAAAUUGAUCAAGCACAUUUUGCACAUUUUUAGAUACCUUAGUGUCCAUGUGCUUUGCUAGGUAUUCUAAGCUUUACAAUUGCUAUAUCCUGGAGUACAUAGCAAACACUAAGAGUGCUGCAUCUUCAAAACGGGUUCUGUCUACUUGACAGAGCCCUAAAAAUGAGGCUCAGCCAAAUUUGGGACAUCUGUUUCCUUUGAAAAGUCAUUGUUUUUUUUUUUCCAGCAGGACUCAGUUUGGGGCUGUUUGAGAACUAUACCAAUAUUACUUUCAAAGUAAAAAGCUAAAUAAAAGGUGUUUUUUUUUUUUUUUAAACAUGAAAAAUUGCACACAAAAGAAAAUAAUUGCAUCUGUAUGAAUAUCAUAACCUCGUUCUGUUGUCAGAUAGUAUUUUAUUGUCAUGUCUUUUUUAAAUUGGAGAACAUAUAAUUUAUAAACAAGUUAUUUGUGAUUCUUACAGAUUUUAUGAAAUGAUAUUGUUGUUUUCUAAUGGCCCUCUUUUUAAGUUUUUUUUUUUUUUUUUUUUGGGGGGGGGGGGGGGUUGGCAGUCUCCAUAUCCCAAUUGUUACAGUGAAGUGGCUGUGUGUGUGUGUGUGUGUGUGUGCUCUGCUCCGCCUGGACUCUCCACUUGCCCGAUCCCUGGAGGCAGCACACCGGCCCGCCCCGCCUGCCCAGUGUUCAGACUACCUGUUCAGGAAGUUCUGGUUGUACAGUAGUCUGCACAUUGGUUAGGCUGUGUGGGGGAGCUCGAGGGGGAAGCGAAAAGGACGCCCGACGCACACCCUGCCUCUCAUCAUAUACAACUAGAAAUAUUUUAAUAAUGCAGGUUGCUUUUCAAGACUAUCAAAUAAAAAGCAAUAGGACAGAACUCCCUCUGUAUUCAUUAUCUGAUUUACUCAUUAAGUACCACUUUUUUUAAAUCAGAGCAUAAGCUGUAUUUAUGUAAUUUGAUACAUUCUAAAGCAAUAUUUAUGCACAAAAAUAAAAUGUAAUCCUUUGUUUUCGUUACAAACUGCCGUGUCUUAUUUUGAGGACAGUCCAGUUAGACACACCCUUAAUCAGAGUAGUGAAAUUUCAUGUCGGCUAUGAAGCUCAACACUGGAAAAUGGAGCUGCUUUAUCGUCACUGUGGGGAAGAAAAACCACCAAGAAAUGUAUCAUUUUUAGGCUUCAGUUUCUUAUUUUAUAUUGACGCAUCACAAAAGCAUUUGAAGAGCUCUGUUUGCAGAAUUAACAGCUGCAUUUAGACUUAUUACACUUACAGUAAACAAAAUGAGAGUAAGUUAUCAUAACAAUAUAGUUAAAGAGAAAUUUUAAAUAACAGGUAGAUGCCAGUUAAAAAUGGACCAAAAAAUGACAAAGUAGCCACUCAGUGGGUUUUUAGAGAUUGUGCUUUAUCCAUUGUUCUUAUUUUAUUAAAUUUGUUUUUGUUUUAUUUUGUUGUUGUUAUUUUUAUCAGUAUUAUAAUUAUUUACUUGUAUUUUGUAUUUGCUACUGCAUUUCCUGAUACUGCACACUCUUGUUCUGUUUUAAUGAACAUCUAAAGCACUGUGGUGCUGAUACUGAUA